rnacentral:rRNA from 1 species
UACGUAGGGGCCAAGCGUUGUUCGGAUUUACUGGGCGUAAAGGGCGCGUAGGCGGCGUGUUAAGUCGGCUGUGAAAUCUCCGAGCUUAACUCGGAACGGGCAGCUGAUACUGAUGUGCUAGAGUGCAGAAGGGGCAAUCGGAAUUCUUGGUGUAGCGGUGAAAUGCGUAGAUAUCAAGAGGAACACCAGAGGUGAAGACGGGUUGCUGGGCUGACACUGACGCUGAUGCGCGAAAGCCAGGGGAGCAAACCGG